rnacentral:snoRNA from 1 species
AAACCAUGUUGUAGACAUUGAUGGAGCGAACCUUGUAUAUCUUUCAUGCCUCGUAAUAGCACUUUCAAUCAAGCUAUGAAAAUGUAGUAAUCUUAUCUCUCAACUU